GUGCGAAAGCAGGUCAUAGUGAUCCGGUGGUUCUGAAUGGAAGGGCCAUCGGUCAACGGAUAAAAGGUACUCCGGGGAUAACAGGCUGAUACCGCCCAAGAGUUCAUAUCGACGGCGGUGUUUGGCACCUCGAUGUCGGCUCAUCACAUCCUGGGGCUGAAGUAGGUCCAAAGGGUAUGGCUGUUCGACAUUUAAAGUGGUACGCGAGCUGGGUUUCGAAAGUCGUGAGACAGUUCGGUCCCUAUCUGCCGUGGGCGCUGGAGAACUGAGGGGGGCUGCUCCUAGUACGUGAGGACCGGAGUGGACGCAUCACUGGUGUUCGGGUUGUCAUGCCAAUGGCACUGCCCGGUAGCUAAAUGCGGAAGAGAUAAGUGCUGAAAGCAUCUAAGCACGAAACUUGCCCCGAGAUGAGUUCUCCCUGACUCCUUGAGAGUCCUGAAGGAACGUUGAAGACGACGACGUUGAUAGGCCGGGUGUGUAAGCGCAGCGAUGCGUUGAGCUAACCGGUACUAAUGAACCGUGAGGCUUAACCUUACAACGCCGAAG
rnacentral:rRNA from 1 species